UUUCUUGAAAAUUUUGUUUGGUUAGUUGUGUGUGGUUGUUUGUAAACCCACAUAUUAAGGAUAUGAAAUUCAAUGUACGAAUUUUUAUUUGACAACAAAUCUGAAAUUAGAACCCCAAAACUAAUAGAAUAAGCACGUACCCACCACGUUCAUAACUAUUGUUAGUGGUCAUGCUUCUUGGAAAAAAUUGUCCAAUAUGGAUUAUUUGGCAGAAGGAAUAUAUGACCUCUGAAGUGCUUAAAUAAGAUUUGUCUGCUCAGUCUUUGUGCUCAACAUUGUUGUUUGGUGGCUUUUAUUCCAUCUAUUUCUUCCACACCAAAUCCCGAUUGUGGCUGCUUGGGAGAAGAUAAGAUGAAGAAUAUGUUAGAUCUAAUUCAAUAAAGUAAACUUUUUUUAUUGAAUAUUUACUCUAACUUCUUUUUAGAGUAUUUUUUUCAUGCUCCAAAAAUUGAUUGGAGAAAGAUGAUGUUUGUUGAGCUUUGGUUUGUCGAGAAAUAGUGGGAGGAUUCAUUCGAAAUAGUUGUUGAGAUUAUUUCAAAGAGGUGGGGGUAAUAAACCUGAUGGAGACAACUACCAGGUUCAAGCAAUUUGAGUUUAAUUGUCGCCAGUAUAGGAUUUAAAUUCAGAUUGCCCUUCAAUUUCAUCUAGAAAGUAAACUGUACAUAAAUCAAUCCGAGGGGCUCAUGAUUCCUGCCAAAUUGCUGAAAUUUUGAAGGUUCAGGCUUGAGUUAGCUUUACAAUUGUAAAGCUUGAUCGCUCUCUAUUUGACUGAAGAUUGGAUUUGGAAACGCAUACGCCUCGAGCAAUUUGCUUGGAUUAUUGACGACAUAUGCAGCAAAUUGUGCCAAUAUCGCUAACAAGCAUGUAUCUAUUUGAAGAAUUUAAUUUUCGCCUCCCACAAAAUGAAGGAAUAAGGAUAUUCUCUUAAAUGUAUUUGAAACUAAGUACACUUGUCUUUUUGAAAUGAAAAUAAAUUAAAAACAUGUUCAAUUAUUCCCAAAUGCUGUACUGUAUUAGUGGUGAGAGGCG